AUUAUCGGACACCUAAUUUUUGUAUUUUCGGAUAUAUAAUGAUUUCGCGUGCAAGAAAAAUGAUAAAUUUAGCACAAAAUAACGUUAAAGGUAUUAUUUAUUAGAUUUCCGUAUUAUCUGAUAAAAUUAAUAAGUUUUUUAUUAGGAAAUGGUGAAUCAAAAAUUAUAAGUUCAAUUUCAUAUAAUUGUGAGGAAAGUGUUGGAAAUAAGGAGCAAACUAGUCCAGCAAACGAAAAAUCGUCUAAAUUUGAUAAUGAAAAUAGUGAAAAUUCUUAUUCACUAGAAGCAUAUCCCGGGAGUGGCUGCGAAUACACAUCAAAUAAUUCAUCGGCAA